UUGAUCGCUGGCGGCAGGCCUAACACAUGCAAGUCGAGCGGUAGCACAGAGAGCUUGCUCUCGGGUGACGAGCGGCGGACGGGUGAGUAAUGUCUGGGAAACUGCCUGAUGGAGGGGGAUAACUACUGGAAACGGUAGCUAAUACCGCAUAAUGUCGCAAGACCAAAGUGGGGGACCUUCGGGCCUCAUGCCAUCAGAUGUGCCCAGAUGGGAUUAGCUAGUAGGUGGGGUAACGGCCCACCUAGGCGACGAUCCCUAGCUGGUCUGAGAGGAUGACCAGCCACACUGGAACUGAGACACGGUCCAGACUCCUACGGGAGGCAGCAGUGGGGAAUAUUGCACAAUGGGCGCAAGCCUGAUGCAGCCAUGCCGCGUGUGUGAAGAAGGCCUUCGGGUUGUAAAGCACUUUCAGCGGGGAGGAAGGCGAUAAGGUUAAUAACCUUGUCGAUUGACGUUACCCGCAGAAGAAGCACCGGCUAACUCCGUGCCAGCAGCCGCGGUAAUACGGAGGGUGCAAGCGUUAAUCGGAAUUACUGGGCGUAAAGCGCACGCAGGCGGUCUGUCAAGUCGGAUGUGAAAUCCCCGGGCUCAACCUGGGAACUGCAUUCGAAACUGGCAGGCUAGAGUCUUGUAUAGGGGGGUAGAAUUCCAGGUGUAGCGGCGAAAUGCGUAGAGAUCUGGAGGAAUACCGGUGGCGAAGGCGGCCCCCUGGACAAAGACUGACGCUCAGGUGCGAAAGCGUGGGGAGCAAACAGGAUUAGAUACCCUGGUAGUCCACGCUGUAAACGAUGUCGACUUGGAGGUUGUGCCCUUGAGGCGUGGCUUCCGGAGCUAACGCGUUAAGUCGACCGCCUGGGGAGUACGGCCGCAAGGUUAAAACUCAAAUGAAUUGACGGGGGCCCGCACAAGCGGUGGAGCAUGUGGUUUAAUUCGAUGCAACGCGAAGAACCUUACCUACUCUUGACAUCCAGAGAAUUUGCUAGAGAUAGCUUAGUGCCUUCGGGAACUCUGAGACAGGUGCUGCAUGGCUGUCGUCAGCUCGUGUUGUGAAAUGUUGGGUUAAGUCCCGCAACGAGCGCAACCCUUAUCCUUUGUUGCCAGCGAGUAAUGUCGGGAACUCAAAGGAGACUGCCGGUGAUAAACCGGAGGAAGGUGGGGAUGACGUCAAGUCAUCAUGGCCCUUACGAGUAGGGCUACACACGUGCUACAAUGGCAUAUACAAAGAGAAGCGAACUCGCGAGAGCAAGCGGACCUCAUAAAGUAUGUCGUAGUCCGGAUUGGAGUCUGCAACUCGACUCCAUGAAGUCGGAAUCGCUAGUAAUCGUAGAUCAGAAUGCUACGGUGAAUACGUUCCCGGGCCUUGUACACACCGCCCGUCACACCAUGGGAGUGGGUUGCAAAAGAAGUAGGUAGCUUAACCUUCGGGAGGGCGCUUACCACUUUGUGAUUCAUGACUGGGGUG
rnacentral:rRNA from 1 species